UAUCAAGGACGCGAUCCACUAAA
rnacentral:miRNA from 1 species